UACGUAGGGACCGAGCGUUGUCCGGAAUCAUUGGGCGUAAAGGGCGCGUAGGUGGCCCGGUCAGUUCGUGGUGAAAGCGCGGGGCUCAACCCUGCGUCGGCCAUGAAUACUGCCGCGGCUGGAGCACUGUAGAGGCAGGCGGAAUUCCGGGUGUAGCGGUGGAAUGCGUAGAGAUCCGGAAGAACACCGGUGGCGAAGGCGGCCUGCUGGGCAGUUGCUGACACUGAGGCGCGACAGCGUGGGGAGCAAACAGG
rnacentral:rRNA from 1 species